rnacentral:misc_RNA from 1 species
GGAAGAUUCAUAUAUAUUAGAGGUUUGAAAAUAUUAUUGUUAAAGAUUAAGUAAAACACCUACUGGAAAGUGGGAAUAUCAUCGUAGCUAGCUUGGAACUGGAAGAACUGAUUAAAGAAAGUAAGGGUUUCAUCACUAGUUCCCAUGGUUGCAGCAGCUGCUAGAGCAGACACUAGAGCACCUAUCCUUAGAAUGAAGUCAAAUAUUGCAAUCCCUUUCUUUCCAUCUCUAGGAGCUGCCAUGAGAGAUGCUUUUCCUUUAGAAACAGUGCCGGACUCUGGCACAUCAAUUGCAGUAGACUCGCUUUUCAUCAUUUUUGUUAAGAAAAAAUUGGAGGACUUUCAGUGUAUGAGAAUGAGAGACUCUUUAAGCUUUUGUUGAUGAAAUUGACUGUAAGGAUGAACCUUAAUAAAUAGAGAAGUAGAU